rnacentral:lncRNA from 1 species
UAUAGUGUGCCCAUGUACUAGUGGAGAGUAUGGCGCCAAAGAGGAACACACGCCGUGUUGCCGCCUAUAACACUCCAAAAUUUUUGAUUUUGGAUUGUUAUUAGAAAAACAAUAAAUUAAAUAAGGAUUUAAAAUUUUUCUAAAAUAUUACAAGAUUUUUAUUAAUUACUGUUAUUAUAAAAUGAGAAAAAUAUGUAAUUUUAAAACUUUUAUUAAAUUAAGUGGAGAGUGUUUUGCUUUGUUGUUGUGUGCUUUGUGCCCUAGCUUUGUUUGGCUUGUCUCGGAAAAAUGAAUUUCAAAAUUUCUAGCGAGCACGUUUAGGCCCUUUCGGUUUUCGAAAAAAUAAAACUCCAAAAGUCCUAUUUAAAACUAAUUCAAGUUUGAGUUAGAAAACAAUUUAGAAAUGUGUUUAAACUAAAAUAUAUUUAGAUUUCAAAAUAGUCUACAAACAAAUUCCAAAAUAAUCCCUAAAUAUUGAUUCAAAUUUAUUUUUGAAAUUUGGUUUGAAAAUAGUUUGAAAAUUGGUUGGCAAAAUAGUUUAGAAUUUCCGUUUUACAAAAAAAAAGAGAAAAAAAAAGCCUUCUCUCCUUUCUGGGCCGGCUCACUCUCCCCACGGCCCAGCUCCACCAGCCCCUCCCUCCUUUUCCCCUUCCGCGCGCGCACCGCCCGCAUGGGCCGCGGCCCACCUCCCGCACCGCUGCUGGCCUGC